rnacentral:rRNA from 1 species
CUCCGUAGGUGAACCUGCGGAGGGAUCAUUACACAAAUAUGAAGGCGGGCUGGAACCUCUCGGGGUUACAGCCUUGCUGAAUUAUUCACCCUUGUCUUUUGCGUACUUCUUGUUUCCUUGGUGGGUUCGCCCACCACUAGGACAAACAUAAACCUUUUGUAAUUGCAAUCAGCGUCAGUAACAAAUUAAUAAUUACAACUUUCAACAACGGAUCUCUUAGUUCUGGCAUCGAUGAAGAACGCAGCGAAAUGCGAUAAGUAGUGUGAAUUGCAGAAUUCAGUGAAUCAUCGAAUCUUUGAACGCACAUUGCGCCCUUUGGUAUUCCAAAGGGCAUGCCUGUUCGAGCGUCAUUUGUACCCUCAAGCUUUGCUUGGUGUUGGGCGUCUUGUCUCUAGCUUUGCUGGAGACUCGCCUUAAAGUAAUUGGCAGCCGGCCUACUGGUUUCGGAGCGCAGCACAAGUCGCACUCUCUAUCAGCAAAGGUCUAGCAUCCAUUAAGCCUUUUUUUCAACUUUUGACCUCGGAUCAGGUAGGGAUACCCGCUGAACUUAAGCAUAUC